rnacentral:lncRNA from 1 species
GGCAGGAUGACACCCAGAUUUCUACGGUAUGGAGAAAUUUAAUUACAAUCAUAGUUUUUGUGUCUAAUAUUUUCAAUUUUGUCAAUGUUUCAGAAACAGUGGGUGAAUAUUUGUUAAAAACGUGCUUUCACAUCACUUUAUGUAUCACUUUAGUGUGUGUGUGUGUGUGAGUUUGAGAGAGCGCUCACUCCAUCAGUCUGUCUUUCUAAUUACCGUUGUUUGUCCAUGGUGAGACAACAUGAAGGCUUUUGGCCUCUCUGGCUGACAAUCGCCAUGAAAGGACAGAUAACACACUCCUCCUUUACACCAGACUGGCACCAUCUCUCUCCUUCCAUCUUCAUCACUUCCUCUCUCACACUCUGUUACACUCCUUCACUCUGCCUCUCCACCGCCUUUCUAUUCCUCUACAAAGCCGUCACUCACUCACUGCAGCGAUCACUAACACAGUCUCUUACCCGGUUAUCUCCCCUGUCUGUCCACAUUCUCUCUCUUUGCCUCUCUCUUGUUUCUAAUGCUUUGCCCUCCAGAGUCUAAAUGGAAAGUUCUGAUCUGUUGACUAUAUUUGCAGCGCAGUUUAACAAGCAUUAGCAUACCCUAUGGGUCUUUAAAUUUCAGUUCUCAUAUGAGCAACAAAACACUUUUACACACACAUAACAGAAGCACACACACACACACAGGCGCCUAUAGGUGCACAGAGCCAGUUAAUUAGAGCUGGAGGCCCCUCUCUCCUAACGAACCUGAGGGUAAUUAAAGAGCCCCUGGACACGGGUGUGUCUGCGAGCUGCUUCUAAUUAAGCCCCAGCGAGCUGAUUUAGCUAAUUAGCUAAAGGCUCGAUGUUCGACACCAAAGCAUUCCAGCCCCUCAGAACACAGGAAGUUACAAUGUUCCCACACCGUCCCUGGCAACACUUUCAUUUCCUCAGGCAUUAAUCACCAGAGUUACAACUGUCGUCAUAGUUACUGCAGGAGAGGAGUUGGGGGGGCAGCUGCAACCCUGAGGGUGAGAGGUGUGAACCAGUCAUGUUAAGGCUACUGGAUGGCGGACCAAUCAUGAGCCAGAAGGUAAAUUUUCAUAUCCAAAAGCAACUAUUUAGACCUGCAUGAUAAGAGAAAGGGUGUCACGUGGAAUCACAUUGCUCAAUAUCACAAAAGAUUUCUGAAGUUCAACACACGUAUCGGCUGAAAACCGCAGUUUCAAUGGUUUGAAUUGUGACUUGUACAACACUUGUAUUCGCAAUAAGUCAGAAAUGUUUUUUUUGUCCAUCUCUACAUUGGCGAUGGAACAGCUGAUGCUAUUUUGAGCUUUAAGUGACAUCAUUAAAGUGGUGUGCAGCAUGGCCAUUUAAGCAGGGCCUUAAUCUAAAUAGUAAAAUAUGCAUUAUUGUGAUAGAUUUAGACAUGUGUUCAUUGGAAAAGCUCAAAUCAGAUUAACAAGACAAGUGCAAUUAAGAGUGCAACCUUACAGUGAUAAUUUAUAUACAAAUACUCUAAUAUAUAUAUAUAUAUAUAUAUAUAAAGUUACCAGUGUACUCCCUGAACUAUAUUCUCAAUAAAGAAUAGCUGCUCUAAAAGGGACAGAAGUCAAACCUGCAUAUUAGAAAUUAUUUUAUUUACUAUCUCCAAAAGGCUCCUUGUCAAAAGUUUGCAUGGGUGAUUAAAUAGCCACUGGAAUAUAACACAAAGAUUUUGAAACCUCAAGUAUCAUCAUGAUCCUCUUAGGAUAAGUGAAUCAGAACAGCUCUGACAAAAGGUGCAUAGAGUAAGAGAAGAGCACCGAAGUUAUUUAAGUUCCUCAGUUUUCCACUCUAUGCCAGAGGCUAAUUCAUUAGCUGGUUAAUUAGCUAUUUAGUAACAAUGUUUCCCACAAAAUGAGUUUCUAUUUUUGGUGUUAUCUGAAUGAAGUUGUUCAUUUAUUUGACUAAAAAGCACAGAGAGCUUGUGAAAGGCUGUGCUGUAAAGUUUGCAUUCUUUCUUAGUGGCCUCUGUGGAGUUUGAUUAUGUUUUAGAGUCAGACUCAAGUGGGCCUUUUACAGAUCUGCAGUGUAGUUCUGCUUUAGGAAAGUUGUAUAUCAUUGAAAGAGGUGUUGGAACGAAUGGCCCUCACCUUAUCUCACCAGCUAUAUUCAUCUGAAAACAUCUCCACAACCUGUUUCUGGUUGAGUCAUUUUGCUUGGGGGAAAAUUAGAUCAGUCAGGACAAAAGGGGUAAAUGGUGCACAAUUUAGAUGUUUCCAAAACAGAACUGAGGUUUAUGUUUUGCAUUUAACUGAACAAGCAAAAGUUGUGUGAAUAAUUUUAGAAAGUUAAAUGUCAAACCCAGAAGUCACAUCUCCUCACAACUGUUCGAGUACCAGUGUUGGACAAUGCUGCUUACGAAAAUAAAGCCUGACUUGUGCUUCGCCAUAUCAUACACUGUAGGUCUGAGUCACCUGUCUUCUGUGCAGAAGCCUACAUGCUUAGUCCAGUGCACACCUUGUCAAAAACGUAAAGCAGACCAGCCCUGAGACUGGUCUGCUGGGCAGUGGGAUUUUCAGGUAUCACCCCUUUUCUAAGUCUUCCUACUAGGCAUCCAUAUAGUCCAUGUGUCCCCAAACCCCUUUCCCCCCUUUCCUCUGUGCAAGAAUUGCAGCCUGAUCAUCACAGUAUAACAUAUAUUAGCUCGAUAUGUGUAUCUCAAAUAUGUAAUGCUCAGAUUUAUUUGUCAUGGUCUGGACACAAGGAGGGAAUGUAGCGGGACCAGAAAGUAGGGAUGUGCCAAGUGUGCUGACUAGCAUUCAGAUUGAGCAUUGCAGAGUGGCACAGAUAUUUGGAGGUAUGUAGGGUCAUGGUGUAGGUCUGACACAGAAGCUUAAACCAGGCUUCACCUGCUUGGAGAUUACUGCCACUUCAUAGUAACUCAUUGUAUACCUGUGUUAAUAAAGUAGCGCUGUGGAGUACUCAAGUAGUCAUUGCUGUUUUAAAACAGUAGCACUUCCAGUAUCUUCUCUCUCUUUUACAGACAUCAUUUUAGCUCGGAGAUGUUUGUUCAAAUAUGAAAUUGAGUUUAUAGCAGCGGACAAGCUUUUGUCACUGACAAACAUUUGUUUUCAAAUGACAUUAACAUUGAUACGCAGCUACAGUUCAGUUUUUCCAGUUAAGGAUUACUUAAACUGCAGAAGAAACACAUUAAAUGAGAAAUUAAAGAACCCAACAAAUUACUUUGUAACAUGUUUCCCUAAACCAGGGGUGGGCAAUCAUGCGCCAUGGAGGGCUGAGAGGCUACAGGUUUUCUUUCCAACCCAAAACUCCACCAAGUGAUUUCACUGAUUAGUCUCUGCUCUCUGCUUGAAGGUAAGGUAAUCAGUGAAAUCACCUGGUGGAGUUUUGGGUUGGAAAGAAAAUCUGCAGCCUCUCAGCCCUCCAUGGCACAUGAUUGCCCACCCCUGCCCUAAACAGUGACAAAGAGCAUGAUCGUCAGAUUUUUUUUUUUUUUCUGAAAGUUUCAAAAAUAUUGAUGUACAAGGCCCGAUGAACUGAGGGACUAUCUAUCAGGUAUUAAAUCUGAUUCAAAUCUAAAAAACAACGUUUAAAAUAUACUUUAACAUUCCAUGCAUAGUCAUAGGAUUACUUAGUCACUGUAAAUAUAUGUUGUUUGUGCUUGUUUUGAAAUUGUGAAAGUUGUUUAACUCUAGAAAUAAGAUGUUAAAAUCAGUCUGUCAUCAGCAUAAUUUUGAACAAUUGCAGAAAAACAGCAGUGCUGCUCUCAUAUCACAGGAAUUAUGGUAUUAUGAAUUCACAUGUUUUACAAGUCCUCCUGGGAAUCAAGAAAGUUUAAGGAGCAAAUACAUUCCAGAGAAGAUGUUCAGAUAAUUUCAUCUGCUUUCCCCCUUUAUCACUUCUUUCCUCCUUCUUUCUAACUCAGCAUCCAACUUCAUAGCCGGAGCGCAUCUGAUCCCCCUUCAUUUCCGCAGUGGGAGAGAGCGAGCUGGCGUUGGCCGCUGAGGCCCUGAUCAAUCAUGAUCUAGCACGACAGAUUGUAUUAGAGACAGAGAGAUGGAGGGAUGGAGAGAUACAGAGGAAGAGAGUGGGGAAUAUAUAAGAUAUUCAGACAUCGGUAUUCUUCUUUGGGAGCUGUGUGUGAUUUGUCGACAUGACCAGAUGUGAUCAGGAGAUGGUCAAAGGAAAAAGAGAGAGAGGAGGGGGAUGAGAGAUGGGGGAAAAACAUCCCCAGCCCUGUUCGUUAUUAAGAGAUUAAAUCCCAUCUCUGACAGACUUGUCACUGCUGGAGACAGAAUUGAGCACGGCCGGUAAUUUGACUAGUUCCCUAUCUCCUCGCCGCUCAGUUGGCCGAUGACAGCAAGGCGACAGAGCGUUGAAUAUGCAAGAUGUCUCUCCUUCUAUCCCUCUAAACUCUGCCGUCUAACUCGCUUGUGAGUUCUGUCAGAGCCACCUAAGAGACACAUGCACUCACAAAAAGUGUACGUAGACACACACACUCAACUGCAUAAAAUUGAAGAUUUUCAACCAUUUGCAUCCUCACGAAGACAUUUGACUUCCCAGGAUAUUGACAAAUGGCGGCUUGCAGGUUCAGGUCCCUCAUUUUUAAAACCUUGCAAUAGCUUCCAUUUCGUGAACGUGUGACAGUUUCUGUUAGCCUGUUGUGCAGAUCCUCCCCGCACACCCACAGUGACUCCACUCAGGCCAGGUGUUAUUUUAACAUUCAUUUUCAGAAGAUGAACGAGGGUCGUUUUUCCUCCUCCUCCUGCUAUCUCACACAUUCUCAUCACUCGUUCUCCUCUCUCUCUCUCUCUCUCUCUCUCUCUCCAAUCCCAUCCCUCCUGUUGGAAAAGCCUGACCCAGUAUUACUGUGACAUUAUGGGGCCACUUACCGCCCUGCUAAAAUAAACCCCAGUGAAGGAGCCGCAUGACAGAACGGGGUUACAACAUGCCGUCGAGCAAAUUAAUCAAACAAAUAAACGAGGAAUUUAGACUUAAACAGGAAGGAUCUCUCCCCUCCCCUCCCGUCCCCUCUUGUCUCUCUCGUCUUUCUUCUCAUGUUUGUUCUCAUCCAGAGACACUUGCUGAUUAAAACACAGCCAUACAUGUGCACACACACACACACACACACACACACACACAUGCAGAUAAAGCUACCCACCAGAACAUCUUCGGUCAGAUUCACCCAUGUCUUUGUUGUACAGCAGCUUGAACUGCUGCUAAGCUUUUCUGCUGGCACCAAAAAGCAGCUAGAAAUACACCACAUUUCUCGAUUUAAAGAAUGUCAUCCAGAUUUUUGUCGAGCAGUCUCUUCCCAUUGGUCUUGUCAAACUUCCCACAUUUCAUUGCCUUUCAGUCAACAGAUUGUAGUCCUCUAACUCUGUCAUGCUAACAGAUAUGACAGCUGUAGCAUAACUAAUGAACACGGAGCUCAUGUUGCGUUCUGUUGCAUGAUUUUGUAUCGAUGCAACGCUUGCUAAGGAUCAUUAGUUUUCUUUUUUUUUUUACUUUGGUGUGCAGUAGACUCAAGCACACAUGGUCAAAGAAUCAAAUGCUAACCACAAAUCACUCAAAGCUUUCAACAUAGAUUUUAGUCUGGCAAUUCAGGCAACCUCGUAGACAAGCAGUACCCCAUCUCUUUGGAGCUGAUCCUGUUUUUAACAGCCAAAAGUAUUGCUACCAUUACUACCUGAUUCUUACCCACAGUAAAUGUAAAAACUUUACUGUGCAAUCAUUCUGUCUGACACCUAACCCCCUGACAGCAGUUCCAGACACUGAAAACACACAGAAAAAGUCUGUCUAUAUUUGAUGAUGAUGACCUGAUUUGCUUUUGUGGCCCAAAAAACAUCUGUCCUUUUCACGACCAUUUAUAAAAAAAAAACCUCACAUGACCUUUAAAGCAAGUUCAAUAAAUAACAAAAUACUGUAUUUUUCGGAUGAUACAGCACACUUAAAAUCCUUAUAUUUUCUCAAAAAUUGACAGUGCGCCUCAUAAUCCAGCGCACCUUAUGUAUGAUUACUUGUUGUGCUCACUGACCGAUUUUUUGUAGUACAAUGCACUCAAAAAUCAGUCGAAAUGUGUAAGUAUGAUUUUGGUAAGCAACAAAGCCACGCUGCUCAAUGAAUAUUCGGAGCAUUACAAUACGCUACCUGAUCGACCCCUGAGCUGUCUGCAAGACUGCCUGACUGUAAUGUCUAAACUACAAGUGAUUUCAUGUAAGGCAGCCCAGGCCCGGAGUACGCACUAGCAACAAUAAACCAAUCAAUGCGCCAAUGCUGAAUGCGCCUUACAUCCGGCGCGCUUUAUCUGUGAACAUAGACACGUUAGUUCACACGGCGCCAUAUAAUCUGGUGUGCUUUAUCAGUUAGUUCCCUCUGAUUUCUUUCAGACAUUUAAACACUAGCUAACCAAACUUCCUCAUGAGUUUUUAUUUCUCUCACCCCCAAAUGAGAUAUUUCCCAAAAUUAUCUAUGUAAAUUUACUUUAAGAAAGAUGGGGUUGUUUGAAUGCGACAAAAAAAAAAUCACAAAAAAAUUACCAAAUAUCUUCUCACCUCAAUGUUUUGUGUCACGCUGCAGCCAACUUCUUCAAGACUUCUUUUACAUUUAUUUAUACUACUAUUUAUUCUAAUACAUACUUUUCUUAUCUUUAUUAUUAAAGAUUACCUUUAUUGUAUUAUAUUAUAUUUUGCAAAUAGGACUCGGUAGAAACAUGAUCAGCUCUUUCAAUCACUUCAUAGCUUAACUCACUAAUGCACAGAGAAUACAUGAACAAGUGAAUUUUUCUUCAAACCCAAGUUAGUUCAUGCAAACAUCCAACAACUGUAUCACCUUGCUCUUCGUGUUGCACGCUGGUUGCCAUAGCAAUCACUCCAGUCCCGUUCAGCAUGCAGGAAACAUGUUGAUUAAUCUUGACGAUGACAGUGCGACUCUUGAUGUGGACGGCUCCACAUUGAUCUGUAAUGAAGUCAUUGAGCCGCAUGACGAAUGGAGGGGAAGGAAAUGUGUGAGCGCAUGAUUAAUGAAAUAAUUAAUUAACUAAUUGGAUUGACUUCAUUAAAUAUUUUUCAAUCCUUGAAGUCAGAGAAAAGUUUGAUUACAUCUUUAAAUGUCUGCGAUGCAAUGAGGUGAGUUCAUAUAAACGGAUCAAAAGUUAUCAAAUGAGCGGGAAUCUUUUUUAGGUUUUUUUUUGCCAAAGAAGCGCCACAUUUUUUAUGUCUUCUCAUCGCAUUACAGGAAGGUUUUUCCAAAGUUUGUGUCAUGAUUUGUUUUUAGGUGAUCAGAUUAAUGAACCUCUUGGGUCAGUCUGUCUUAUGACUGCUCCAAGUCAUGCCAAACACAAUUGCUUUAUGUUGUUAAUAAUAUAGAUGAUUAACUAUCUGAAUGAAGAGUGAAUUCUGUGAUCCUCUUCCCAUUUGUGGGUCUGAGCAUGUCUGGAAAUAGAUUCUGUGAAUCCACAUGGAUUUUUUCCAUCUGCUGCCUGCUGUUGCCGGGUGUGUGGGAUGUUUCCUGGACCUGCUGUCAGGACUGUGAGCUUUUCCAGAGAAAACAUGCAGUAACCUUGGAUCUCCUCUUUGAAAAGCUCCAUGAGUUUUUGCAUACAUCAUACCUGGCAUCAGGGAUUUAACUUUAUACCAACUCAAAUGAAAAUCCCCUUCAGAUCCCCAAAACUGACAUCAUAAAGAGGCUGAGAUUGUGGUUAGUCAGGAAAGCUCAGCAGCAACCUGAAAUGUACUGCGAUGGCACGCCACAGCUGCUCACAAAUGAUGCAAAUAACUACUAAUGUCAUGACUGCAAAACUUAACCCCUGAUCUCCUCUGUCACAUCUUUUCAUCUAUCUCAGGGUAUAAUAUAAUAUAAAGUCAAAAAUCCCAAUUUUUUCUCUUCUUUCCUGAAAUUGAUAUACUGAGCAUACACAGCCCAAAAGUAAGACGUUUGAGGCAGAGCUGCCCAUGUAUGUCACACUAUUCUACUCCAGGCAAAAAUGAAAAUAUGUACUUAUCUAAAUGCUGUUCCUGCACAUAGUCUGGAUCUGUGACAUGACAUCAGUGUUGCUUUUAUACCAACAGUAUAAAAAGAUAUAGUAGAGCCUUGGUUAUUCCAUAUUGUUAACGAUAUGGUCCAUCUGGUCUUCAAACCAGGAGGCUAGACCAUUUUUAAACAUGGUCUGUGGUUUUACCUGCAGCCAUAGCAAAAGCUUGUAGUAACGUCUGCUGGUUCUAGUCAACUUUUGUAUACACUCUGGAUCCUACUAUCACCUGAGUAUAAAGAGUACAAAACAAGUUUUGGUAACACUUUAUUUCACGACUAUCUCUAUAACGCAUUAUAAAUAUAUGUAUAAUACGUUACAAUCACAUUAUAGCACUGUAUAGCUACAGUUAUAAACACUCAUAAAUGAUCAUAAUGCUUUAUAGUAAUAACUAUAUAGCAUUAGUGCAUUAGUCGACUAUACUAGCAUUUUAUCAUGACUUACAAGGUCAGGUAUUAUAAUGUGUUAUUACUGUUAACAACAGUUGUAUUGCAUUAUCUAUUUGGGCAUUGUCAGUGAGUUGUUAACAGUUUUAACACAUUAUAAUAUCUGACCCUGUAAGUCAUGAUAAAAUGCUUUGUAAUGUGUUCUAAUUAUUGCUUUGAAGCAUUAUGAUCCUUUAUGAGUGUUUAUAACUACAGUUUUACAGUGCUAUAACCUGAUUAUAACGCAUUAUACAUAUAUUUAUAAUGUGUUAUAGACAUAGGUGUCAAAAAAAGUGUUACCCAAGUUUUAACAGGACCUCAACAUGAUCUCCUCCACAUACAAAUCAAAGGUUCACACCUUAAUGAUGAUCAUGGCCUUAUGAGAGAGGAAGUGUUCAAAGUGGAGUCAACUGCGUUACAUAUCCCAGCAUGCUUCGUGAAGUGACACAUUUGCUAUAUGGUGCAGUGGCGUGCAGAGAUUGAUGGUAGGUUAUGCUGGCACGCUAUUACGUGAUCAGUACAGUUGCAUGUAUAUUUAAGCCAAGCCACUGCAAUUCCAGUUGAAAAGCACUGGGCAAGAAUCAAAUCAGCUGCAGUGGCGACAUGCCCCCUUACAGCUCAUUACUACUGGUUGCUAACUGGUUUACAAAGCAAUCGACUGAAGUAUUAGCAAGUAGCAAACCAAAUGUAUGUUGAAGGAUGAAAACACUGUCUCAUUUACAGCACAUACAUGUCCCUCUGCCUGCAGUGUCAGUUACACAGAAUCUUAGUUACUAAUGCUGCAUACAACCAAGCUGGAUAUCAUUCCUCCUCAAGUGUCCUGCUGAUUCUUUCUGGUUUCUCCCCUGCCUUGAUUUUAUAUUCCCAUAAUGACCACUUCAACAAAAGAUUAUUACAUGUUAUUGUAAUUAACUGUUCAAACUUAUGAUCUAAUGGAUAAAAUGGAUCAUCUGGUGUUUGUGGGUAACGAGAACAGCGUGCAUAUGUGAGCCUGUGUGUGUGUUUCAUUAUAAUGUGCUUGUGUGAUUAUGUGUUUAUAUGCAGCAUGUGCAGGUCUCACUGCGUCCUAUCGAAGAUGAUUGUGCAUCCAUCAGGAUGCCGUUAAAUAGUGGCCAGUGAGGAUAUGAAACGGCUCUCACUUUGGGGCUAUCGUUGAUCAAUGCUCAUAAACAUUUCAUGUCAUAAUCAGCCAUCGCCGGCACAAUAACACAUCAGCACUAACAGUUCUGGGACAGCAGGACAGCAACACACGUGUGCACACAGGCACACAUGCCGAGACUUUUAGUGUUAACAUCUCUGCUAAACCGAAUAUGUAUAUUUUAUGCAUCACAGCUGUGGAGGUGGAAACACACACAUUAGACAUCUUCCCUCACACACCAUUAAACAAACACACACCAUCAAGCAUUUAGGCAGUAAAAUAGUGUGUGUGCUCAGCGUGUGUGUGAUGUUGAGCUGUGGUCUGGGUGAGGGAUGAAAGAGAGAGACACAGGGAGAGGCUGCCGGGGUGAGGAGGGGGAGUAUUAUCCGGGGAGGGCUUUACAAAGUAAGCCAAUUUAUACAAGGUAUCCCGGCUCGAAUUAGCGGCUAAUGACUCUAUUAGCUUUCAUUUUUGCACCGAGGAGAUUUGCCUGCAUAAAUUAGGGCCUGAUCAUUGGCAAAGUGUCACGGCCAAAGGACAGUUUAUAAAUACAACAGCCAGGCCCUGUCAGCCGCACUGGGCGCUGAUAUAGACGUCUCUGCAGACUUUGUCGUUGAGCGCAACAGACUUGUGCCAGUCAGACGGUGACAGGGGACCGUGGGGGUCCCGGGGGGAGCUCUCUCACCGCCGUCCCUGAAAAGGUCAACUUGACGCGGGCACAGCCCAUCGACCUGCCCCCCUGUCGGCUCCGCUGAUAAAAAUCAGAUAAACUUAAGACCACUCAUCGAUCUGGGCUGCAGAGCCUUAGGCAAAUGUUGGCAGAACCCCCCUCCUCCUCCGCCUUCACCUCCUCUUCUUCCUUCACCUCCUCUUUUGUGCAUAAGAUUACACACAACAAAUUAAAACAAGGGUGGGGGGCACAGAAAGAGAGGUGGAAGAGGGGAAAAUAGAGAGAAAAUGGGAAAGAGAGGGAGGGAUUCUUGUUUCUUUGAGGAAAGGAAGGGAGGGGGGUUCUAUUAAGAGGUGAGAGGAUGAGAAGUGGGAGUAGGCAGGGUAAGAUUAAUCGCAGAAAUUUGAGCAGAGACAGGGAAAUUUCAUUAACUAUGAGAGCACUUGUUAGAGCUAAAUGGUCAGGGAGCGAGGGGAGGUGGGAGGAGGGUGAGAAAAGGUGGAUCUUUAAAGUGGCAGAAAGAGCAGGACAGAGGUUCUUGCUUAUGCAACUUGUGACUUCCUCCAAAAACAGCACAGAUGCCCUAUUUAAUUCUUCCUUUCUUUGUCUUUCCUUUAGAUUGGAGUCUGAGAUGUUUGCAGAAAAAAAGAGGUAAAGACAUAGCAGCUACGGGAAGCGGUGAUGGCAGAAGGGGCCCUGCAGCAGGAAGGAUACAGAUCCGAGCAGAGGGCCAGGAGUCAGAGUCAGAGUGAGUGAGGAGAGACCAAACUACUGCAAAAAGACAGAAUUAGAGCAAAACGAUCAGAG